UGGGAUAACUCCGGGAAACCGGAGCUAAUACCGGAUAGUUCCUUGAACCGCAUGGUUCAAGGAUGAAAGACGGUUUCGGCUGUCACUUACAGAUGGACCCGCGGCGCAUUAGCUAGUUGGUGAGGUAACGGCUCACCAAGGCGACGAUGCGUAGCCGACCUGAGAGGGUGAUCGGCCACACUGGGACUGAGACACGGCCCAGACUCCUACGGGAGGCAGCAGUAGGGAAUCUUCCGCAAUGGACGAAAGUCUGACGGAGCAACGCCGCGUGAGUGAUGAAGGUUUUCGGAUCGUAAAGCUCUGUUGUUAGGGAAGAACAAGUGCAAGAGUAACUGCUUGCACCUUGACGGUACCUAACCAGAAAGCCACGGCUAACUACGUGCCAGCAGCCGCGGUAAUACGUAGGUGGCAAGCGUUGUCCGGAAUUAUUGGGCGUAAAGGGCUCGCAGGCGGUUUCUUAAGUCUGAUGUGAAAGCCCCCGGCUCAACCGGGGAGGGUCAUUGGAAACUGGGAAACUUGAGUGCAGAAGAGGAGAGUGGAAUUCCACGUGUAGCGGUGAAAUGCGUAGAGAUGUGGAGGAACACCAGUGGCGAAGGCGACUCUCUGGUCUGUAACUGACGCUGAGGAGCGAAAGCGUGGGGAGCGAACAGGAUUAGAUACCCUGGUAGUCCACGCCGUAAACGAUGAGUGCUAAGUGUUAGGGGGUUUCCGCCCCUUAGUGCUGCAGCUAACGCAUUAAGCACUCCGCCUGGGGAGUACGGUCGCAAGACUGAAACUCAAAGGAAUUGACGGGGGCCCGCACAAGCGGUGGAGCAUGUGGUUUAAUUCGAAGCAACGCGAAGAACCUUACCAGGUCUUGACAUCCUCUGACAACCCUAGAGAUAGGGCUUUCCCUUCGGGGACAGAGUGACAGGUGGUGCAUGGUUGUCGUCAGCUCGUGUCGUGAGAUGUUGGGUUAAGUCCCGCAACGAGCGCAACCCUUGAUCUUAGUUGCCAGCAUUCAGUUGGGCACUCUAAGGUGACUGCCGGUGACAAACCGGAGGAAGGUGGGGAUGACGUCAAAUCAUCAUGCCCCUUAUGACCUGGGCUACACACGUGCUACAAUGGACAGAACAAAGGGCUGCGAGACCGCAAGGUUUAGCCAAUCCCACAAAUCUG
rnacentral:rRNA from 1 species